rnacentral:rRNA from 1 species
GAUGAACGCUGGCGGCGUGCCUAACACAUGCAAGUCGAGCGGAAGGACGCUAAGCUUGUUUCUCUGAUGUUAGCGGCGGACGGGUGAGUAACACGUGGAUCCCCUCCCUAUAAUUCUGGGAUAACUUCGGGAAACCGUAUCUAAUACCGGAUAAUAUUUUGAACCGCAUGGUUCACAAGUGAUAGACGGUCUUGCUGUAUCUUAUAGAUGGUUCCGCGCUGCAUUAGCUAGUUGGUAAGGUAACGGCUUACCAAGGCAACGAUGCGUAGCCGACCUGAGAGGGUGAUCGGCCACACUGGAACUGAGACACGGUCCAGACUCCUACGGGAGGCAGCAGUAGGGAAUCUUCGGCAAUGGGCGAAAGCCUGACGCAGCAACGCCGCGUGAGUGAUGAAGGUCUUCGGAUCGUAAAGCUCUGUUAUUAGGGAAGAACAGAUGUGGAAGUAACUGUGCACAUCUUGACGGUACCUAAUCAGAAAGCCACGGCUAACUACGUG